rnacentral:rRNA from 1 species
GACGAACGCUGGCGGCGUGCUUAACACAUGCCAGUCGAACGGAAAGGCCCUGCUUUUGUGGGGUGCUCGAGUGGCGAACGGGUGAGUAACACGUGAGUAACCUGCCCUUGACUUUGGGAUAACUUCAGGAAACUGGGGCUAAUACCGGAUAGGAGCUCCUGCUGCAUGGUGGGGGUUGGAAAGUUUCGGCGGUUGGGGAUGGACUCGCGGCUUGUCAGCUUGUUGGUGGGGUAGUGGCUUACCAAGGCUUUGACGGGUAGCCGGCCUGAGAGGGUGACCGGCCACAUUGGGACUGAGAUACGGCCCAGACUCCUACGGGAGGCAGCAGUGGGGAAUAUUGCACAAUGGGCGGAAGCCUGAUGCAGCAACGCCGCGUGCGGGAUGACGGCCUUCGGGUUGUAAACCGCUUUCGCCUGUGACGAAGCGUGAGUGACGGUAAUGGGUAAAGAAGCACCGGCUAACUACGUG